UACGUAGGGUGCGAGCGUUAAUCGGAAUUACUGGGCGUAAAGCGUGCGCAGGCGGUUUUGUAAGCCAGAUGUGAAAUCCCCGGGCUUAACCUGGGAAUGGCAUUUGGGACUGCAAAGCUGGAGUGCGGCAGAGGGGACUGGAAUUCCUGGUGUAGCAGUGAAAUGCGUAGAGAUCAGGAGGAAUACCGAUGGCGAAGGCAGGUCCCUGGGCUGACACUGACGCUCAUGCACGAAAGCGUGGGGAGCAAACAGG
rnacentral:rRNA from 1 species